UUCGGUGGCCAUGGCGGAGGGGGAACACCCGGUCCCAUCCCGAACCCGGAAGUUAAGCCCUCCAGCGCCGAUGGUACUGCCCGGGCGACCGGGUGGGAGAGUAGGUCGCCGCCGAGA
rnacentral:rRNA from 1 species